GUUCAUUUCAUUCGUAUUUUAUCACCUGUAUAAAUGGGCCGCCCGCAAGAUGAACCAAGACCCCAACAUCUACUUCGCCGCCCUCAAGAUGUUCACGUUUUUAGGCACCAUUUACCCAAUAUUGUUGCUGUUGUUCGAACUGUGCUCGGAGACUUAUCCCAAUAUUUUGGAGGUCGUGUAUACGGUGGUCCUGAUUAGCAUCAUCAUCAUGAACUGAUUCAAUUUGUCCACGUAUCAAAAUAUGUGUUGUAAGUAUUCGCAACGCCGGUUCAAUUCAACAACCGGUGGGUUUUUAGGUUUGCACAACCGAAACGGAUCAUGGUGUAUGUCUAGGUCAGUGCAUCGAAACAAAAUUCCCCUAUGACCACGAUGUCGUCGGUUUGUCUCAUUCGGUUUCGCAACUCGGACACACAUUUUGUUUGUACCCGCAAUAUUCACCGAUGCAUACGACAUUCGGGUCGCCUUGAAAUUUUUGUUUGGAUCCGCUAGUUUUUAAAUUAUGCACAUUGUUCCAUACGGCGGUCGAAACGGAUUCUCCAGCGAAACGGCGGUCGCGAAUGCAAGGCUGGAUUUUAUUAUUCAUU